rnacentral:misc_RNA from 1 species
AAGUCGUAACAAGGUUUCCGUAGGUGAACCUGCGGAAGGAUCAUUAUUGAAUAAACUUGGUUGCGUUGUUGCUGGCUCCUCGGAGCAAUGUGCACACUCAAUCCAUUUUUAUAAACCACCUGUGCACCUUGUGUAGACCUGAAUACCUCUCGAGGAAACUCGGUUGGAGAAUUGCUGCGCGUAAAAACCAGCUUUUCUUGCAUUCAGGUCUAUGUCUUUAUAUACUCCAUAAGAAUGUAUUAGAAUGUCAUUGAUAGGCGUUUUUAUCGCCUUUAAAAAAAAUCAAAUACAACUUUCAACAACGGAUCUCUUGGCUCUC